rnacentral:lncRNA from 1 species
AGCAUGACCCAUGGCAAGUUUAAAAACAGCAAAAUUUAUCGCAUCAAAAAUACAACUGACAAAUUAAAACAUGAAACUUAGGAACAUUAAUUUUGGGUUCAGUUAGUAUUGUGACCAACAGAAUAUCAAUUUGUUUAUGCCAAGAAUAUCACCAGGUUUAUCAACGUAAAUAUAUCUCAACGUAAAUUAAGGUGAAGUGAAGCAUAAUCUGUAUACAUAGGAUGCUUCAAAAACGGAAGUAAACGAUCACAUGAAGUCGUGAAUUAGUAAAUCGUGCGACCAAAAAGUCAGAUGGUGCGAGGAUUGAUUCAGCAUGCCAUUCGGAACUUUGGGACAAAGACGGUGAGAAUGCAAAAUGCGACAAUAAUGUCUACA